UCCGUUAUGGUGUAGUGGCUAACAUUAUCGCCUCUCAUAGUUGUAUCAGCGCGAUAGCCCAGGGUUCGAUUCCCUGUAACGGAA